rnacentral:rRNA from 1 species
GAUGAACGCUGGCGGCGUGCUUAACACAUGCAAGUCGAACGAUGAAGCCCAGCUUGCUGGGUGGAUUAGUGGCGAACGGGUGAGUAACACGUGAGUAACCUGCCCUUAACUCUGGGAUAAGCCUGGGAAACUAGGUCUAAUACCGGAUAGGAGCGCCCACCGCAUGGUGGGUGUUGGAAAGAUUUAUCGGUUUUGGAUGGACUCGCGGCCUAUCAGCUUGUUGGUGAGGUAAUGGCUCACCAAGGCGACGACGGGUAGCCGGCCUGAGAGGGUGACCGGCCACACUGGGACUGAGACACGGCCCAGACUCCUACGGGAGGCAGCAGUGGGGAAUAUUGCACAAUGGGCGCAAGCCUGAUGCAGCGACGCCGCGUGAGGGAUGACGGCCUUCGGGUUGUAAACCUCUUUCAGUAGGGAAGAAGCGAAA